rnacentral:rRNA from 1 species
GUGGGGAAUAUUGCACAAUGGGGGAAACCCUGAUGCAGCGACGCCGCGUGAGCGAAGAAGUAUUUCGGUAUGUAAAGCUCUAUCAGCAGGGAAGAAGAAUGACGGUACCUGACUAAGAAGCACCGGCUAAAUACGUGCCAGCAGCCGCGGUAAUACGUAUGGUGCAAGCGUUAUCCGGAUUUACUGGGUGUAAAGGGAGCGCAGGCGGUGCGGCAAGUCUGAUGUGAAAGCCCGGGGCUCAACCCCGGUACUGCAUUGGAAACUGUCGUACUAGAGUGUCGGAGGGGUAAGCGGAAUUCCUAGUGUAGCGGUGAAAUGCGUAGAUAUUAGGAGGAACACCAGUGGCGAAGGCGGCUUACUGGACGAUAACUGACGCUGAGGCUCGAAAGCGUGGGGAGCAAACAGGAUUAGAAACCCUUGUAGUCC